UACAGAGGUCUCAAGCGUUGUUCGGAUUUAUUGGGCGUAAAGAGCGUGUAGGCGGCCUGGUAGGUCAGCUGUGAAAACUCGAGGCUCAACCUCGAGACGCCGGUUGAAACCAUCAGGCUAGAGUCCGGAAGAGGAGAGUGGAAUUCCCGGUGUAGCGGUGAAAUGCGCAGAUAUCGGGAAGAACACCCGUGGCUAAGGCGGCUCUCUAGUACGGUACUGACGCUGAGACGCGAAAGCGUGGGGAGCGAACAGG
rnacentral:rRNA from 1 species